rnacentral:rRNA from 1 species
GUGGGGAAUCUUAGACAAUGGGGGAAACCCUGAUCUAGCCAUGCCGCGUGAGCGAUGAAGGCCUUAGGGUUGUAAAGCUCUUUCAGCUGGGAAGAUAAUGACGGUACCAGCAGAAGAAGCCCCGGCUAACUCCGUGCCAGCAGCCGCGGUAAUACGGAGGGGGCUAGCGUUGUUCGGAAUUACUGGGCGUAAAGCGCACGUAGGCGGAUCAGAAAGUCAGAGGUGAAAUCCCAGGGCUCAACCUUGGAACUGCCUUUGAAACUCCUGGUCUUGAGGUCGAGAGAGGUGAGUGGAAUUCCGGGUGUAGAGGUGAAAUUCGUAGAUAUUCGGAGGAACACCAGUGGCGAAGACGGCUCACUGGCUCGAUACUGACGCUGAGGUGCGAAAGCGUGGGGAGCAAACAGGAUUAGAAACCCGUGUAGUCC